GUGUUGGUCUGGGCAGCACAUAUACUAAAAUUGGAAUGAUACAGAGAAGAUUAGCAUGGCCCCUGUGCAAGGAUGACAUGCAAAUUCUUGACACAUUCCAUAUUUUU
ensembl:snRNA U6 U6 spliceosomal RNA